rnacentral:misc_RNA from 1 species
GGAAACAGAUCUGUGAAGCGUUCAGAAAAGUCAAGCUAGGUUUCUGAUCCGCGCCGCUCCUGCAAGAUCACACACCCUUGGCUAGCGAAGGGUGAACAUGUUUAUUGGAAAGCAAUUUUAACACAUAAUUGUGCAAAAGAAUGGAGUCUUCAAGCAUUUCACCAGUCAAGCCGACUUCAACAAGCUUUGCCAGCAAAGUGAAAGCACUAUUAAUGAGGGCGUGGCGGGAACGUUGGAGUGAUCACCAGUGGGGAGUCCAUCUCAAGUCAGUGGUCAACAGCUGUAAUGGAGACUCCAAAGAGCUGCCAGAAAUUCUACUGCAGCAGGCAUUAGUUGGACCCAAUCCCAAUGCUCUGAUUAUCGGCUAUCUCCAGCAUAUUGUAUUGUCACAAAUGAUCCCACCAUGCUCUGCAUUAAAUUUAAUUCAGAAGUACGAUGAUAUAAGUAAACCAUAUUGCACUAUUGGACUGAUAGAGCUUACAGAUGCCAUAGCUUGUAACAUCAGUGUCACAAGUGGUAUGGAAUCCAGCGUUGUCCUCUGUAAAUGUCUCCAGAAGACGCUCCACUGGCUGAUGAUGUGCAUCCUCCAGUCCAUGAAGGCUAUGAAAGACUCCCAACAGCAGCAGGAGUACAUCAGCAUCAUAGACGCCGCGAGUGUCGCCGCCCUCCACAUAGCUGAUAACACCACGGUACAGGCCUUGUUAUACGUCGCCAUGUCAGAGGAUCAGGAUAACUUCCGCGAUUAUGAACAGGCGGUGAUCAAUGUGCGAGGUACCCUGAGCCAGCCGGUGUCUGACAUGCUGCCCUCACAGACCAAACAGAAAGUACUGAUAGCUCAGCAAACCAUGUCAAAAGUUCAAGACAUGGCCCUACCCAGCCAGCCACUGUGCGAGGUGUCCCACCUAGGAAUCUGUCCCACCAUCAACACACUGGUCACUCUUGAGGCAGUGCUGAACCCCUCCAGUGACGUCCAGCCAUUCAUUGACCAGCUGUGUGUGUCAGAGAGACUCCUGCAUCUUCCAAGACCUUCCCUUUACUGUGAGAUUUUAAGGGCCUGCUUUAUGGGAUUAAACAACUGUGCAGACACCCCAGAGGAGUUGAAGUGGGCUGCUUUCACUUAUCUCAAGCUGCCCCAGGCUCUGCGCUACAUGAAACAACAGUCACCGAACCAAGACAUUGGGGAGGACCUGUACCAAGGACUGAGUGAGCUCAUGAACUCAGUGCCCCUCCUGGACCUCGUGGAAAUCAAACUCAAGUGUGAAUGCCUUAAGUUCUUGAUUGGAGAAUUCAGCAAAAACGAUCUACUGGAUAAAGCUCAGACACAACAACUCAUGAACAGGAGGAGUGCUGACUGUGGGACCAAGAUUGAAACAAGUAGCCAUGCUUCACCGAUUCAGAUCAUUCGCAAUGAGCAGCAGCUUCCAAAAAUCAUUAAGACACUGGACAAUGCUGACGCCUCUAAGACCCCAAGUGAUAUGAUGAGUCUGUUGUGUCUGUUGACGUCGGGGAGGAACCUGGACUUUAUCCUGGCUGUAGCGUCCUCUACUGGGAAACUUCUGGGACUGGCCAGCAAACUAGUCAAGAUUAAUGAAUUUGCAAAGCAGACCCAAGGAGAAAUGGGGAAAAUGGCCCAGACCAGAAUCAUGUUGUUUGACAUUUCCUUUCUGAUGUUGUGCCACAUCUCCCAAGUCUAUGGACUAGAGAUAAUUGCCCCAUCCCCAGAAUAUUCUGAUUCUUUUUUUGCCCAUUGGGCCACUCGAUGUCUACCAGAAGACGGGAAAUACAAGUGUAUUGAUAACUUCACACCAACGGACCAAGGCAAGGUGGAUUUACUGAUCCAGCAUCUCAUCUCUGGUGUGGACGUGAAUAAACUCAACAUUACAAGGAUGAAUGAGUAUUGUUUGAACUUCCGUUGGCUCUACAAGAGAUUCUGAUUGCCUGGGAGCAUGGGGCCGUGUCUGCAGACUCUAUCAAGAUGAUUAUGGAGCAUAUUAAGAACAAAAUGUGCUGCAUUCCCAUUGUGCUGUGUGCUUGGCUGUGCAGUUACAUUAGUAUGAUCCCAGAUAAAGCCAGGGAGAAGCCAUUACAGAUGAUUCAAAUGUUACAAACACCAGCAAUGAAUCCAGAUCCUGACCUUAAUUAUAAUGAAAGAUAUGCUUUGAUGACACCAAUCCUUCACAAACUUAUAAAUGACAUCUUACCAGUGUCGAAACGGGUGAACUACAUCAACUAUGUACCAUCUGACAAGCUGCCGAGUGAGGUCAUGGAUGAAUGCAUCAAGGGAGUGUUUCGACGUGGUUGGCUGGACAUGAAGUCUGUGCAGACGUUGGAGUAUCUCCUUAAUCUCUGCGGAUCUGAUUGGUUCUGUGACAGAUGUAUUGAGGCAAUGUUGGAGAGCAGCCGCCUAGAGGACCUGAUGAAGGCCCUGAGUCUGGUCUUUGCUAUAUUUCAUAUGGACCUGGAGCACAUCACCCUCAGUCUUCUGUUCCACACCCUGCCCCGUCUCCUACAGACCACAGGGUACCACAACUUGCUUAGCGACCCCCGAGGAAACACUCUGGCCAAGCUCUCUGUUAUGAUUCUUGUGUCGGCCCAGAACUCAAAAAAUGCUGAGAAAGAUACUAUCCCUCAUUUGAGAAGAGGAAGAAAGAGAUCUAGAAAGGAAGUUGAGCUAGAGGACAUGGAGGAAACUGAAUGUAGACCAGUCAAGCGUAGCAAGUCUUCAUCGUUGGAGCCUCAGCUGACAUUGGACUCGGAAGGAUUUAACUUUGAUUUUUUGACAGCCAAAGAAGAUGGAGAGACUUCCCCAACUUUUGACACCAAGGACCCCCUUAAUAAAUCACUGGCAAACCUGAUGCGUUUAAUGAAUGCCUUGUCACAGGACAGCCAGGUUUCCCCACGGAUGAGCUUCAUCAUCAACUUUGUCCGUGAAGCCAUCAACUGUGGCAGUCAGAACGCCAAGUUCACCCUGCAGUUUAUGCCUCCACAAAUGGUGUCCAAUCUCCUCAAAAGUGUCCAAGGAGUGUUCAACAACAGACACAUUCUUCAGAUCUGUGACCUGUCCACCAGCAUAGGGAGAAAAGUAGCCACACAGGCCAUCUGUCAGAACUCUCGGCUACAGGGGCCAGCUAACAGUGCAAAAACAGGGACAGUAAAUAGUACAUGACCGAGGACCACUCCAGUGCUUACAAACCAAUGGAGCAACAGGCUCCUCUUGUGAGCUACAUGUAAAUUGUAGACAGAAAGAGGCAAUCCAUAUUUCAUGGAAACAAGUUGCUGGAAUAGAUUCUUGGUUUUCAAUGUGUUCAUGGACUAUAUAUAGAAUACACAUAAGUCAGUUGUCACAAGACAGCUGUUCAUCUAAAAGAUAAAAUCAUCUGGAUGAGACUACAUGUAUUUUUUAUGAAAUAAAAAAAAA